rnacentral:lncRNA from 1 species
GGUUACUGUAGGGAAUUUAUAUAGGUUUACUGAUUUUAUAUUAAUUAGUGUUGAUUAGGUGGUUAAUGUAGGGAAUUUAGCUACGUUUAUAGAAUUUGUUAUUUAUAGAAUUUGUUAAUUACUGUUAAUGUUAUUUUUAAAAAUUAAUUUUUUUUCAGACGGUUCGAAGGAACAGACUUAGUCUCUAUUACAGAGAAAUGUUCGG